CGUUCCCAUACCGAACACGGAAGUUAAGCUCUUCAGCGCCGAUGGUAGUUGGGGGUUUCCCCCUGUGAGAGUAGGACGUUGCUAGGC
rnacentral:rRNA from 3 species